AUUGAACGCUGGCGGCAUGCCUUACACAUGCAAGUCGAACGGCAGCACGGGUGCUUGCACCUGGUGGCGAGUGGCGAACGGGUGAGUAAUACAUCGGAACAUGUCCUGUAGUGGGGGAUAGCCCGGCGAAAGCCGGAUUAAUACCGCAUACGAUCUACGGAUGAAAGCGGGGGACCUUCGGGCCUCGCGCUAUAGGGUUGGCCGAUGGCUGAUUAGCUAGUUGGUGGGGUAAAGGCCUACCAAGGCGACGAUCAGUAGCUGGUCUGAGAGGACGACCAGCCACACUGGGACUGAGAAACGGCCCAACCUCCUAGGGGGGGCAGCAGUGGGGAAUUUUGGAAAAGGGGGGAAAGCCUGAUCCAGCAAGGCCGCGGGGGUGAAGAAGGCCUUCGGGUUGUAAAGCACUUUUGUCCGGAAAGAAAUCCUUGGCCCUAAUACGGUCGGGGGAUGACGGUACCGGAAGAAUAAGCACCGGCUAACUACGG
rnacentral:rRNA from 1 species